rfam:Triticum urartu cultivar G1812 contig519063, whole genome shotgun sequence.
UUAGCAUAUGACGAUAAGCAAGACAGGGACUCUGCAGCGGCUCUGGCUCAGAUCGGGCCGUGAAUGAUGCAUUCGUCUAGGGGAAUCUCUGAUGCUAA